rnacentral:rRNA from 1 species
AGAGUUUGAUCCUGGCUCAGGAUGAACGCCGGCGGUGUGCCUAAUACAUGCAAGUCGAACGCGUUGGCCCAACUGAUUGAACGUGCUUGCACGGACUUGACGUUGGUUUACCAGCGAGUGGCGGACGGGUGAGUAACACGUAGGUAACCUGCCCCAAAGCGGGGGAUAACAUUUGGAAACAGAUGCUAAUACCGCAUAACAAUUUGAAUCGCAUGAUUCAAAUUUAAAAGAUGGCUUCGGCUAUCACUUUGGGAUGGACCUGCGGCGCAUUAGCUUGUUGGUAGGGUAACGGCCUACCAAGGCUGUGAUGCGUAGCCGAGUUGAGAGACUGAUCGGCCACAAUGGAACUGAGACACGGUCCAUACUCCUACGGGAGGCAGCAGUAGGGAAUCUUCCACAAUGGGCGCAAGCCUGAUGGAGCAACACCGCGUGAGUGAAGAAGGGUUUCGGCUCGUAAAGCUCUGUUGUUAGAGAAGAACGUGCGUGAGAGCAACUGUUCACGCAGUGACGGUAUCUAACCAGAAAGUCACGGCUAACUACGUGCCAGCAGCCGCGGUAAUACGUAGGUGGCAAGCGUUAUCCGGAUUUAUUGGGCGUAAAGCGAGCGCAGGCGGUUUGAUAAGUCUGAUGUGAAAGCCUUUGGCUUAACCAAAGAAGUGCAUCGGAAACUGUCAGACUUGAGUGCAGAAGAGGACAGUGGAACUCCAUGUGUAGCGGUGGAAUGCGUAGAUAUAUGGAAGAACACCAGUGGCGAAGGCGGCUGUCUGGUCUGCAACUGACGCUGAGGCUCGAAAGCAUGGGUAGCGAACAGGAUUAGAUACCCUGGUAGUCCAUGCCGUAAACGAUGAGUGCUAGGUGUUGGAGGGUUUCCGCCCUUCAGUGCCGCAGCUAACGCAUUAAGCACUCCGCCUGGGGAGUACGACCGCAAGGUUGAAACUCAAAGGAAUUGACGGGGGCCCGCACAAGCGGUGGAGCAUGUGGUUUAAUUCGAAGCUACGCGAAGAACCUUACCAGGUCUUGACAUCUUGCGCCAACCCUAGAGAUAGGGCGUUUCCUUCGGGAACGCAAUGACAGGUGGUGCAUGGUC